rnacentral:rRNA from 1 species
ACGAAGGGGGCUAGCGUUGUUCGGAAUUACUGGGCGUAAAGCGCACGUAGGCGGAUUGUUUAGUCAGGGGUGAAAUCCCGGGGCUCAACCUCGGAACUGCCUUUGAUACUGGCAAUCUCGAGUCCGGAAGAGGUGAGUGGAAUUCCUAGUGUAGAGGUGAAAUGCGUAGAUAUCGGGAGGAACAUCGAUGGCGAAAGCAACCGUCUGGGCCUGAACUGACACUGAGACACGAAAGCGUGGGGAGCAAACAGGA